GAUCAAGCUACAAAGGGCUUACGGAGGAUGCCUUGGUACGUGGCGCCGAAGAAGGACGUGACAAGCUGCGAAAAGCUACGGGGAGGAGCAAAUAUCUUAAGAUCCGUAGAUAUCCGAAUGAGGGAACUCAGCGCGAGUAGAAAUGCGUUAUUAUACACUGAAUAGAUAGG
rnacentral:rRNA from 1 species